AGGCCUGGAAGACUGCCAUAGGCAUAUAUGUCCUGCAGGAAAGGUCUGUAGGAAUGGAUAUUGUGUAAGAGGCCUGGAAGACUGCCAUAGGCAUAUAUGUCCUGCAGGAAAGGUCUGUAGGAAUGGAUAUUGUGUAAGAGGUA